UCCGACAUCUCCCAGAUGAAAGAGGACUGAUUCAAACUUGUGCUGUCUUCAGGAGGAUCAGCCCAAGCUGUGGAUAGGCUGCAGACAGGAACGUCAGAGGUCCAGUAGUUUUCCAACAAACUUCUUCCAACACCAUGAAGACUCCGCGCCUCAUAGUGACUCUGUGCUUGAUGCUCGUCCUGGAGGCGAUGAUCGCUGAAACUCUCAGCACGGAGGAGGAGGAAGGCCUGCAAAAACGUCAGGGUUGGCUCAGAAAAACAUUUGGAAAAUUUAAAAAAUUUGGCACGAAAGUCAAAGGCGCUUUCGGAAGACUAAAGAACAAAUUUAGAAAGUUUAGAAACAGACCUCGACCCAGACCCAGACCCAGACCGAGACCGAGACCUGAAUAUGAACCUGAACAACAAGAAUUUGAGGAAGAAGGUUAUGCCCAAAGUCCUUACCAAGGCGGGGGUGAAGCCUGUGAGCAAGGCAACAGAAAACAAUAGCUGAAAUAAGUGAAAGGAGGUCAAUGAUGUCGUCUACCUGUCUCCCUCAUACGACCUAUGAAGACUUCGCUCAGCUGUCAAACAACUUUCAGCUCUUAUAACAUGCUUGUUUUUAUAACAAAUUUGCUUUUUCUGGUCUUUUUCUGUUAAAUUCAAUUUUCUAUUAAAAUAUUUUGUUUAUUUAGCAUC